CAACAUGUUGGGGUGACCCAAACAUGGGUUAAUUUAGCCAUCAGUUGGGUUGACCCAAACAUGGGUUAAUUUAGCCAUCAGUUGGGUUGACCCAGUAGCUGGGUCUUUUUUUUCUUUCAUUUUCAGUAAGUGUGGCCUAUUAAGGGUGUAGCUGUCAUUCAGUUAUUUUUGGCCAAAUGGUCAACUUUCUGGUCAACUUUUAUGGUGGCAAUAAUGCCCCUUAUUUGCUAGUACACUUUGGAAGUAUUAGAAUUAGGCCCAGCAAAUAGUGUGGUGAACUUGAUCCAAUGUCUUCGGAGGUGAUGGCAGAAUGUUCAACUUUUGCCGUCUGAUAGAAAAGGUUUCUGUAAAACAGACCGUUUGGAUAUUAAAAGGACCUCAUCUGUUUUCCGUUGGCUUUUUCUCGAAACGUAAUAUUGGCCUAUGUUGAAACGUAAUAUUGGCCUAUGUUGAAACGUAAUAUUGGCCUAUGUUGAAACGUAAUAUUGGCCUAUGUUGAAACGUAAUAUUGGCCUAUGUUGAAACGUAAUAUAGGCCUAUGUUGAAACGUAAUAUUGGCCUGUGUUGAAACGUAAUAUUGGCCUAUGUUGAAACGUAAUAUAGGCCUAUGUUGAAACGUAAUAUAGGCCUAUGUUGAAACGUAAUAUUGGCCUGUGUUGAAACGUAAUAUUGGCCUAUGUUGAACUACACACAAAUUCUCAAACCUUGUCCAGACGCAGAGGAAGCCACUGGCUACUUGUCUGCUUAGCAGUGCGACAAUAUAUAAAGUCGACAUUUACAUUGAAAUUGAGAAUAAACGCUUAGGUAUAUUUCAAUAAAGUAGAGGCUUUGGUUAACUGCGUGUCUCUCUCUGGCUCUCUGUUGCUGUGCCACGGUUUGAAAUGCCUGCAGUUAGAUGACCUGGUGAAACUAGACUUUAGGAUUUCCUUGUUACUAAUGCUAAUUGUGUGUGUCGGUUUUGGAAUAAAAUCAUUUUUGUUGACAGUG